rnacentral:rRNA from 1 species
ACUCAAAUGAAUUGACGGGGAUCCGCACAAGCGGUGGAGCAUGUGGUUUAAUUCGACGGUAAACGAGGAACCUUACCAGGGCUUGAAAUCCUGCUGAAGACUUGCCGAAAGGUGAGUUGUCUCUCAAGGACAGUAGGACAGGUGCUGCACGGUUGUCGUCAGCUCGUAUCUUGAGACGUUCCCUUAAGUGGGGUAACGAGCGCAACCCCUACUGUGUGUUACAAGUGUCACACAGAACCGCCCCGCUCUUUGUACGUAAAUAAAUAUUUGCGUUUAAAGAGCGGGGAGGAAGGCGGGGAUGACGUCAAAUCAGCGUGGCCCUCUGAUGCCCUGGGCUACACACGUGCUACAAUGGUCAGAACAAAGGGUUGCCAAGGCGCAAGCCGGAGCUAAUCCCAAAAAUCUGGCCCCAGUUCAGAUUGGAGGCUGCAACUCGCCUCCAUGAAGUCGGAAUCGCUAGUAAUCGCGCAUCAGCUAUGGCGCGGUGAAUACGUUCUCGGAUCUUGUACACACCGCCCGU